AUAAUUAGGUCUUUCCACUUUUCUGUGGAAAGACCUAUUGUUUUUCUUCUGAUUAUUAGGUCUUUCCACUUUUCCGUGGAAAGACCUAUUGGAUUUCUUCUGAUUAUUAUUAUUAUUUUUUUUUUUUUUUCUUCCGCCUAAUUUUUUUCCUUCGCUGUUUUUUUGUUUCACAAGAUGUCGCUUAGAUUUUUGGAAUAUGAUAUCGAACAAUUUAUAUGCUUUUGAAACCAACUCUGCUUAACCGAAUACUUUCCCAAAUAAGAG
rnacentral:lncRNA from 1 species